GCGGGCUGGGCGGGUCCGCGCUGCCCCGCAGGGAGGCCUGGGUCCUUCACUACUAGGUACCGCUCAAAGCGGCAAACGCAGGCAGCGCCCAGUGCCCCCGCCCCCCCGGGUGUUCGCGCGUGGGACCCGCAGGUGGGCUAGACAUGCCUGAACACGCCCGACAGGCCUGGCGGGCGGCGGUUACCUUGGGGGCUGCCGCGGGGCCCCGGCUCCCUUGACUUAGCAACCCCUGAGCCUCCCCUCCCCGGCGAGCACGCCGGGGACUUGUAGGGGAUGGGCCCCUGCGGGCAGAAGUAAGUUCCGGGCUGCUGCUCUGCACCACCUGGAGCGUUUCCGGUCCGGUUUCUGUAUAAAGACACCCCUCUCUCAGGAGAGGAGCGUACGGAGGACCGACCACCAGACUCCGGUGUUUACGGGCAGCUCACUUCACAGUUCUCCCCAGCACAGCAGAUAAGACUGUCUAUGUUUGCAUUAAUUCAGGAACAUUUCUUUAGCAGCUAAAAAGACAGUUUACAGGCAGACACAAACUAUGUAUGGAAUGGUGUUUUACAUUUUAAAAUGCUGUGCUAUUUAUAGGAAACAUUACCCCUACUUGGCACAUGGAGUAAAACAGAAACCGGGAUAAUGGUUUCCCUCAAGGCCAUUAGAUGUGCUGGUCCUUAGACACAACUGCACAAGUCUCCAGGAACUAAACCAGCAAGAGUUAUGAACUGUCUCCAUUAAACUGUUUCUUCUUGAUGCUUUCCUAAACGGAAACACCUACCUGGCUCAUGAAUCAUGUAAUGAACCCAGCCUAGACUCUGUUGGACACCAAGUCUCCUCCACUCCUCUUCAGACAUCAGAUGGGUUUUCGGGACUUGUUUGGAAAGUUCUCUGGGUAACAUGACAUGCCUGUUAAGAGAUAGAGCCGAGUAUUAACAAAUAUACCUUUCCUACAAUUAUCAUCACUUUAUAAAUGCAUUUUUAGGAUACUUAAUACAUGAGUUCAAAAUAAUCAAAGAUCUUUAAAGCAACUCUUGUUACAUUACUGUUGGCAUCAAUCUUGAGGGCUGUCUACUACCUUUAAUUCUGAUUUUUGAUGGCCUAAUGUUAAAAACAGGAAGAAUAUACAGUCCAAAAGCAGAAAGCAUUUUGUUUAGGAUUUGCCUUUUCUUCUCUAAGAGACUGCUUGCUGUUUCAAUGUUCUUCAGGAAUAGAAUCCCCAAACCCAAGUUGGGCUCAUGGUUAUCCAAAACAUCCCAGCCUCCCAUACAGCUAUCUCUGGUGACUUAAAUCCUGGUCAAUAAGAUACAAGCAAAGAAUAUGCAACUUAUGGAAA